rnacentral:rRNA from 1 species
GGCUCAGAUUGAACGCUGGCGGCAGGCUUAACACAUGCAAGUCGAGCGGUAACAGAGAGUAGCUUGCUACUUUGCUGACGAGCGGCGGACGGGUGAGUAAUGCUUGGGAAUAUGCCUUAUGGUGGGGGAUAACUUGGGAACUCAAGCUAAUACCGCAUAAUUCCUACGGGAGAAAGAGGGCCUAUACUUGUAAGCUCUUGCUAUUGGAUGAGCCUAUGUCGGAUUAGUUAGUUGGUGAGGUAAUGGCUUACCAAGACUACAAUCCGUAGCUGGUUUGAGAGGAUGAUCAGCCACACUGGGACUGAGACACGGCCCAGACUCCUACGGGAGGCAGCAGUGGGGAAUAUUGGACAAUGGGGGCAACCCUGAUCCAGCCAUGCCGCGUGUGUGAAGAAGGCCUUAGGGUUGUAAAGCACUUUCAGUAGGGAGGAAAAGUUAGUCGUUAAUAACGGCUAACCCUGACGUUACCUACAGAAGAAGCACCGGCAAACUCCGUGCCAGCAGCCGCGGUAAUACGGAGGGUGCGAGCGUUAAUCGGAAUUACUGGGCGUAAAGCGCGCGUAGGCGGCUAUUUAAGCUAGAUGUGAAAGCCCUGGGCUCAACCUGGGAACUGCAUUUAGAACUGAAUAGCUAGAGUAUGGUAGAGGAGUGUGGAAUUUCAGGUGUAGCGGUGAAAUGCGUAGAGAUCUGAAGGAACAUCAGUGGCGAAGGCGACACUCUGGACCAAUACUGACGCUGAGGUGCGAAAGCGUGGGUAGCAAACAGGAUUAGAUACCCUGGUAGUCCACGCCGUAAACGAUGUCUACUAGCCGUUGGGUUCCUUGAGGACUUAGUGGCGCAGCUAACGCAUUAAGUAGACCGCCUGGGGAGUACGGCCGCAAGGUUAAAACUCAAAUGAAUUGACGGGGGCCCGCACAAGCGGUGGAGCAUGUGGUUUAAUUCGAUGCAACGCGAAGAACCUUACCAGGUCUUGACAUCCAUAGAAUCCUUUAGAGAUGGAUUCGUGCCUUCGGGAAAGUAGUGACAGGUGCUUCAUGGCUGUCGUCAGCUCGUGUCGUGAGAUGUUGGGUUAAGUCCCGUAACGAGCGCAACCCUUGUCCUUAGUUGCCAUCAUUCAGUUGGGAACUCUAAGGAGACUGCCGGUGACAAACCGGAGGAAGGUGGGGACGACGUCAAGUCAUCAUGGCCCUUACGACCUGGGCUACACACGUGCUACAAUGGGCAGUACAGAGGGCCGCGAAGCCGCGAGGUGGAGCUAAUCUCAUAAAACUGUUCGUAGUCCGGAUUGAAGUCUGCAACUCGACUUCAUGAAGUCGGAAUCGCUAGUAAUCGCAAAUCAGAAUGUUGCGGUGAAUACGUUCCCGGGCCUUGUACACACCGCCCGUCACACCAUGGAAGUGGAUUGCACAAGAAGUGGCUAGUCUAACCGCAAGGGGGACGGUUACCACG